CGUAUGUAUCCCUUUAUCAUAAUAUUGGAAAUCUUUCAGUUUUAAAACAAGAAGGGGAGCCAAUAUCACACAAGAGUUAUGCCGGUGAAAAGUCUCAACCUCGGUCAGUAUUCACUACAGACAUUGAAAGUGACGGAGCUGAUGCUGCAUUAACGGAGCAUAUUCUCUCAAAGACGAAUUUCAACAUAAUAUAACGGUAUAUAACUGUCUUCAUUAGGAUUUCACUAUUGGAUUUCAUCAGUUUAUUAGGUUUCAGAAAUGGGUGGGGCAAAAUGGCUCUAUAGCGCCACCUAUAAAACUUCAACAGUGUGUGCCGUUUUAGUCUUAAAAUGGACUUCCUUUCCUGGUAGUAGGCUAUCUGAUAUGAAUUAACUAAUGUUACAUUUUUAAUGUAGCUCAUUUGUCAAUAACAACAUAUCUGCGGUAAAACAUAAUACAAUAAAAGUGCCAUAAGACAGAACAUUCUCUAAUAUGUAUAAUAUCAAAUCUAUUUAUAAGUAAUGUAGCAAUUCAUUAUUUUAAACGCUUUCAUGUAUUUUAAACGCGCUUCUCUGCGCACUCAGGUGAUUCAUUCAUGUUCACGCGCGUGGCGGGGGAGGGGUCUCGUACCUGUGCUAGUGGGUGAAUCCGCCAUGUUUGUGCGGCCUGGAGCAGACGCGAGCAAAACAAUGGAUUAUUUACCAAGAGAUAUUAAUGUAUGGAGUCAUUUCGACAAAACAGUUCUGGAUUGUUAUGUGGAUCUCGAGAGUUUACGCUGAACUAAACUUUGACGAGCAACACUCCGAUCUGCAAACAAAGAGCUGAGGAAGAGGAUGAUGACGGGCCUGCAUUCACGAGGAGAAAGAGCAGAAUUUACUUUUACAGAUGCUUAUGACUGCUAAAACAUGGACAACGCAACACACAAUCACAGCUUUUGUUGCUACUAGCUGCUUCUUCACUCAGCAUGUUAAGACGCACAGGAAUUUAAUCAAGAGAAGUAUUAUCAUCGCUGAAGAAAUGGCAGAUUUUAAUCCUCAGACACCGAACAGGUCAAGCCCUGAAGAAAUAACACCAUGGACAUCAUCUUCUGACUGAACUAGCAAGGAGCUGUUGGAGCAAAUGAGAAAGCUGUUGGAAUGUAAACCUACCUGAGUAAACGCCACUACUUUAAUGAUAAUUUCUAAGUUUACUGAGCGACGUAAACUGCUGUCAUCCACGUCACAUCAUUGCUCUAACUGACGUUACCUGAAGAAUCCUUUCAGCGUAGCAGAUAUUCGCAAGCGUCUGGAGCCAACAUAAAAUGCUGAACUGGAUGCUUACUGAAGAGUGAGCUUCAACACUUAAGGUUUGUACAAAGUUACACCAUGUCACUGAAAAUGGCACGCAUCAACAAGAUUUCAGAGACAUUUUAAAUGUUGAUGAUCUUCAGGUGAGUUGAAAUUUGUCAACACUACCUCCAUCACUGUCAUCACUGUAAAUAAAAUAAAGUUGGCUUGCUUGUUUAACAUGUUAAUUUUUGCUUGACUCUGAAGGGUGUGAAUGAUGUCAACAUGAAACGCACCAUAGCCCUCUGUGCUCCUCGGUGUACCUGUGAGGAGGAGCCACAACUCUUCAAGACUUGAAAUGAGGCGUUGGGAGAGCCAGACAUCACUGGUUCUGUCAUUGUGGUCAAUGAAACGAAAGCACAAGUCCUUCAAGCACUGCAGUUGUGAUAGAAGAUGAUCUUCAGUUUUAUAAUAAAAGACUAAUCUUCAAAAAAAAAAA